ensembl:lncRNA
GAAAGACAUUGCAGGAUGCUUCAAGCAAGGGAGGAAUCUGAACAGUGGCAAUAUAGACUGGCCCCUGUCCAUUCAGCCCUCACGUACAGAAAAUACCAAAUUCUGCCAAGAUGUACAGGGUAUUUUGCUUCAUGUGUGAAGAGAAGAGCGCUGCCUGGAGGAUUCUCAUGUCAGUGCCAGUAAAAGCAGAAGCCAGAGAAGCUUGCUUGACCACACUGCCCAGCUGUAAUGAAUGAAUGGAUAACAUCUGAUUGUUAAACAGGGCCACAUUUCCAAAUGGAUCUCCGAAGGGCAUGAUGGAGUAGCCAGCAUGGAUUUCCUGCAAUUACUAGACUAUGCUCUACAGAGCAUAAGUGGUUCCUGAAAUACAUAUCCAUUCAAGAUGUGGAUUCUGGAUAUUGUUUUCAGACUAUUCAUAUGUUCACAAGACCAACUUGGAGCCCCUAAGUAGAUUCUGCACACAUCAAAUUAAAUUUAAGCUUCAAGAGCUAUUUGCUCAGGAUUCUUGUAUCUACCUUCACAUUGGACCAAACCCUGCUUUUGAGAUGCACGCGCUGAAACAUGGAUAUGAAAUAUCUGCAAACUGGGGGGAAGAAAAUUAAAUAAAGCACUUAAAAGAUGUACCAUAUGACCUGUUCUUUACAUCUGGCACAUCUCACACUUCACAGUUGAGAGGACGUGGAAAGACUAAAACUCUUCAUUGCCUCGGUGCAAAGCAUGGACAACUGCAGCCUGAACCACCACAGGCACUACUAGAGAAGGUCUAAGCUCAGAAGAAAACAACCUGUGUGCUGGUGAUGUACAUCUCUGUAUAAGCACCUUCGGAAGAAGUCUAUUUGUGAUUUGAGGACAGACUGCCAUUUUAAACUAAGUUAUGCCGAAGAUCUAACACCAUAGUCCACAAUAUGAAGCUUCUGAAAUGUGGAGGAUGUGACAGCAGAAGAUCUCUGAUCCAUCACCGAAUUAUUUGCUAAACUUCAACUUCAAUCAACAGAAGCAAGCAAAAUUCAUAAGAAGUUCCUUUGUAGGAAAGCCCAAACUCACCAAUAGCAAAUGAAAGUCUUCUGAGGAAAAAGUCCUGAAGAAAACGGUACUACAGCUAAAUUACAUGCUGGAUGAGCUUUGGCACUGAAUCUCACAAAGUUUAUGAAAUUACUGCACGCAGCUUCAUAAGGAGUCGUGAAAAGUGAAGAAGGACCUGGUACUAAUUCACACCACACUGUGCUACACAGUGCUCCUGGCUGCAUCGCACCUGUUGAUGUUUGUGUGCCAAGGUACAUUACGCCAACUGCAAUGGCAAGGAAGGUACGGCUGCAACUAAGCCUGCAAACAGGACAGCUGCAUCUCAGGGAGCACUGCUCUCCAGCACCAGGCCAGGAACCCGCUUCGACUGCAGGAGCAAAAGUAGAGGAGGUGUACGUGUUUGAAAGCUUUGCAUGUUGGUCCCUGCAGCCCAUCAGUCGCUCCGUGCUGCACACAGAGAGUAAAGCUGGAGAGGACAAAGAGACCUGAUCUUCGCCUUUUACCACCCGUCACUUAUUCCUGAAUGAUGGACCCAGCUCCUUCCCAGCCGGCCUCACACCACAGCUUUCUUCAGUUCUGAUGUGGCCUCAGCCUACAGCAGAGACUACAUUUUAUUUUCUGCACUAUGAGCUUAUCAAGCACUGCAGGGUUUUCAUUUGCUUCGGGCUUUUUUGCAAACCCACAUUUCUUUCAGCCGAACCUCUGAUUUCUGUGGGAGACCCCACAGGAGAGGUGAAACUCUGUGUUCCUUUUCAGCUGUAUUCAGUGGACGUUGCAUUAGGACACAGUGGAUCCUGGGAGCUCUGCAUGAGUGGGAUUAAGAGUAGCAAGAUCUGUUAGGAAG